UACGUAGGAGGCGAGCGUUGUCCGGAAUUACUGGGCGUAAAGAGCGCGUAGGCGGCACGGUACGACCGGUGUGAAAGCCCCCGGCUCAACUGGGGAGGGUCACCGGUAACGGCCGAGCUACGAGUGCAGGAGAGGGAAGUGGAAUUCCGGGUGUAGCGGUGGAAUGCGUAGAGAUCGGAAAGAACACCAACGGCGAAAGCACUCUGCUGGGCCGACACUGACACUGAGAGACGAAAGCUAGGGGAGCGAAUGGG
rnacentral:rRNA from 1 species